rnacentral:ncRNA from 1 species
GAAAGGUAACAGACAGGGGGGGGUGAGGGGAAUAGCAGAAAAGGUGUUUGGUCGAUAAAGACAACAGGACGGGGGCCAUGGAAGUGGAAUCCGCCACGGAGAGAGUAACGAAUCACCUGCCGAAUCGACUAGCCCAGAAAAUGGAUAGCGUUUGAGCUCCAGGCCCAUACCCUGACCGUCUCAAUUACGCACUUUUUUUUCGGAAAAGGUGUAAUGAACGUUGAGACGGGUAGGAAGGUCGCGACAGUGUUGCUUUGAAGAGUUUUGAGCGUGAGCUCGCUCGGAGCCGCUGUUGGUGCAGAUCUUGGUGGUAGUAGCAAAUAUUCAAGUGAGAACCUUGAAGGCUGAAGUGGAGCAAGGUUCCAUGUGAACAGCAGUUGGACAUGGGUCAGUCGAUCCUAAGAAAACGGCGAAAGCUUGUUCGAAUUUGCGACAUGAAUUGUAAGACUGAAUAAUUAUUUGUGUGUGUGUUGUGGUGGAGGCGAUUGUGUCGUCACCAGUUGUUGUUGUGUGCAGUUGUCGUAU